rnacentral:rRNA from 1 species
GAUGAACGCUGGCGGCGUGCCUAAUACAUGCAAGUCGAGCGAACAGACGAGGAGCUUGCUCCUCUGACGUUAGCGGCGGACGGGUGAGUAACACGUGGAUAACCCACCUAUAAGACUGGGAUAACUUCGGGAAACCGGCGCUAAUACCGGAUAAUAUAUUGAACCGCAUGGUCCAAUAGUGAAAGACGGUUUUGCUGUCACUUAUAGACGGAUCCGCGCCGCAUUAGCUAGUUGGUAAGGUAACGGCUUACCAAGGCAACGAUGGGUAGCCGACCGGAGAGGGGGAUCGGGCCCACUGGAACUGGGCCCCGGUCCAGACUACUACGGGAGGCAGCAGUAGGGAAUCUUCCGCAAUGGGCGAAGGCCUGACGGAGCAACGCCGCGUGAGUGAUGAAGGUCUUCGGAUCGUAAAACUCUGUUAUUAGGGAAGAACAAGUGUGUAAGUAACUAUGCACGUCUUGACGGUACCUAAUCAGAAAGCCACGGCUAACUACGUG